rnacentral:tRNA from 1 species
GCCUGGGUGGCUCAGUCGGUUAAGCGUCUGACUUUAGCUCAGGUCAUGAUCUUGCACUUUGUGGGUUUGAGUCCCUCAUCCGGCU